AUUUAAUCUGGAAGCGGCCGUCUCAUCGGUCCUUUUCACCGACUGUUCGCUGUGCAGGAGGACGGAGAAUGAAAAGUCAUCUUAAACACAUAAUGCAGAACAACCCAGGUUCAGCCGUCUCUGCCACCGUGCUCUGUUUGGAUCAUGUGCCAUGUGGUGGACAACUGUGCGAGCCAGAUGGAGGAUGAUGAUGGCUAUGUUUGAGGUUCGGCAGUAAGUCCCAGUGACGAUGGUGCAGUCGCAGCACCAGUCUGCCAUGGCAGGAUAAUUACUUGAGGAAAAAGGAGCUCCAGAAAGGACAGCUACCAUCUGCAUCAAACCAUGUGUGAAUUCUCAAGGUUGCUCGGACAGAAGAUGUUGCAGCUGCUGUAACGGACCCUGUGAGGCAGUCUUGGUUACACUUGGCAGGUAAUGAGCAAAGCACCUGAUGAAGAUUGUACCAGUGGAACAUUAUUUUUCUGUUCUCUUGAAGCAAAACAAACUGUCUCUCAAAUAUUUUAUUUGUGGGUGGGGCUGUGGCCUGUGUAGAGUUCAACAUGGUCUCCCUGUGUUCUCCUCUAGUCCGAAGACAUGCACAUUAAUAGGUGACUCUAAAUUGCCUGCGUGUGAAUGUGAGCAUGUCCAGGCCCCUGUGAGCCUUUUUUAAAGGAGAAGUGGGUAUAGAUGAUGAAUGGAUACUUGUGUGGGAUAUCUGAUCACUGGCUAUUUGCCAGCAGUGUUGUCUUGCACAUUGUACAUCCAUAGUAUGAAUUGGCAUGCUGUACAUGCAAUGUGUGAUACCAAUUUGUAUUCAAAGAAAUAAACAUUUCAUCUCCUGAA